rnacentral:rRNA from 1 species
GUCCACGCCGUAAACGAUGAGUGCUAGGUGCUGUGGGUAUUGACCCCCGCGGUGCCGCAGCCAACGCGUUAAGCACUCCGCCUGGGGAGUACGGCCGCAAGGCUAAAACUCAAAGGAAUUGACGGGGGCCCGCACAAGCGGUGGAGCAUGUGGUUCAAUUCGACGCAACGCGCAGAACCUUACCUGGGUUAAAUCCACUAGAAGGCUACAGAGAUGUGGCUUUGCCCUUCGGGGAGCUAGUGAGAAGGUGCUGCAUGGCUGUCGU